rnacentral:rRNA from 1 species
GAUGAACGCUGGCGGCGUGCUUAACACAUGCAAGUCGAACGGUGAAGCAGAGCUUGCUCUGUGGAUCAGUGGCGAACGGGUGAGUAACACGUGAGCAAUCUGCCCCUGACUCUGGGAUAAGCGCUGGAAACGGCGUCUAAUACCGGAUACGAGCUGCGAUCGCAUGGUCAGUAGCUGGAAAGAAUUUCGGUCAGGGAUGAGCUCGCGGCCUAUCAGCUUGUUGGUGAGGUAAUGGCUCACCAAGGCGUCGACGGGUAGCCGGCCUGAGAGGGUGACCGGCCACACUGGGACUGAGACACGGCCCAGACUCCUACGGGAGGCAGCAGUGGGGAAUAUUGCACAAUGGGCGGAAGCCUGAUGCAGCAACGCCGCGUGAGGGAUGACGGCCUUCGGGUUGUAAACCUCUUUUAGCAGGGAAGAAGCGAAAGUGACGGUACCUGCAGAAAAAGCGCCGGCUAACUACGUGCCAGCAGCCGCGGUAAUACGUAGGGCGCAAGCGUUAUCCGGAAUUAUUGGGCGUAAAGAGCUCGUAGGCGGUCUGUCGCGUCUGCUGUGAAAACCCGAGGCUCAACCUCGGGCCUGCAGUGGGUACGGGCAGACUAGAGUGCGGUAGGGGAGAUUGGAAUUCCUGGUGUAGCGGUGGAAUGCGCAGAUAUCAGGAGGAACACCGAUGGCGAAGGCAGAUCUCUGGGCCGUAACUGACGCUGAGGAGCGAAAGGGUGGGGAGCAAACAGGCUUAGAUACCCUGGUAGUCCACCCCGUAAACGUUGGGGACUAGUUGUGGGGUCCAUUCCACGGAUUCCGUGACGCAGCUAACGCAUUAAGUUCCCCGCCUGGGGAGUACGGCCGCAAGGCUAAAACUCAAAGGAAUUGACGGGGACCCGCACAAGCGGCGGAGCAUGCGGAUUAA